UCCCAGGUGGCUCAGUGGGUAAAGAAUUUGCCUGUAGUGUAGGAGAGGCAGGAGACCCAGGUUCAAUCCCUGGGUUGGGAA
rnacentral:tRNA from 1 species